GACGAACGCUGGCGGCGUGCUUAACACAUGCAAGUCGAACGGAAAGGCCCUGCUUUUGUGGGGUGCUCGAGUGGCGAACGGGUGAGUAACACGUGAGUAACCUGCCCUUGACUUUGGGAUAACUUCAGGAAACUGGGGCUAAUACCGGAUAGGAGCUCCUGCUGCAUGGUGGGGGUUGGAAAGUUUCGGCGGUUGGGGAUGGACUCGCGGCUUAUCAGCUUGUUGGUGGGGUAGUGGCUUACCAAGGCUUUGACGGGUAGCCGGCCUGAGAGGGUGACCGGCCACAUUGGGACUGAGAUACGGCCCAGACUCCUACGGGAGGCAGCAGUGGGGAAUAUUGCACAAUGGGCGGAAGCCUGAUGCAGCAACGCCGCGUGUGGGAUGACGGCCUUCGGGUUGUAAGCCGAUUUCGCCUGUGACGAAGCGUGAGUGACGGUAAUGGGUAAAGAAGCACCGGCUAACUACGUG
rnacentral:rRNA from 1 species